rnacentral:sRNA from 1 species
CUUACACCUAGUAUCUCUGAUUCGAUAUUGCUAUGAUAAUGCUUUUCAAUUGAUUAAAGGAUUGACUGUUUGUAAUUAUGGAAGAUCUAGAUAAAGAUCUUCAUCUGCUAGAUUAACAGAAUGAAAGCUAAGUUUGCUUGCUCAAGUUUCAUCUAGCCCAUCAGUGGCUCUAUGGGUAGCAUUAACAAUGUCAUAUUGAUAUUCUCAUUGUCCAUCAGAAUAUUGCACUUGAGAUGGUGGUUCAAUCUGUUUUCAUUCUUUAGAAGUAGUGUAAGUAUGAGAGAUAUAAUUGAAAUCUGCUCCAGAAU